UUAUACCGUGAAACUGCGAAUGGCUCAUUAAAUCAGUUAUCGUUUAUUUGAUAGUACUUACUACUUGGAUAACCGUGGUAAUUCUAGAGCUAAUACAUGCUGAAAACCCCAACUUCGGGAGGGGUGUAUUUAUUAGAUAAAAAACCAACGCCCUUCGGGGCUUCUUGGUGAUUCAUGAUAACUUUACGGAUCGCAUGGCCUUGCGCCGGCGACGGUUCAUUCAAAUUUCUGCCCUAUCAACUUUCGAUGGUAAGGUAUUGGCUUACCAUGGUUUCAACGGGUAACGGGGAAUUAGGGUUCGAUUCCGGAGAGGGAGCCUGAGAAACGGCUACCACAUCCAAGGAAGGCAGCAGGCGCGCAAAUUACCCAAUCCCGACACGGGGAGGUAGUGACAAUAAAUACUGAUACAGGGCUCUUUUGGGUCUUGUAAUUGGAAUGAGUACAAUUUAAACCUCUUAACGAGGAACAAUUGGAGGGCAAGUCUGGUGCCAGCAGCCGCGGUAAUUCCAGCUCCAUAGCGUAUAUAAAAGUUGUUGCAGUUAAAAAGCUCGUAGUUGAAACUUGGGUCUGGCUGGCAGGUCCGCCUCACCGCGUGUACUUGUCCGGCCGGGCCUUCCUUCUGGAGAACCUCAUGCCCUUCACUGGGCGUGUUGGGGACCAGGACUUUACUUUGAAAAAUUAGAGUGUCAAAGCAGGCCUUUGCUCGAAUACGUAGCAUGAAUAUAGAAUAGACGUGCGGUCAUAUUUUGUGGUUCUAGACGCGUAUGAUAUAGGACAGUCGGGGCAUCAGUAUCAUGUCAAAGGUAAU
rnacentral:rRNA from 1 species